rnacentral:hammerhead_ribozyme from 1 species
AUUUAGCUGACAAGUCAGAAAAAUAGGACGAAAUGCGUGUCCUAAAU